UACGUAGGUGGCAAGCGUUGUCCGGAUUUAUUGGGUUUAAAGGGUGCGUAGGCGGCUUUAUAAGUCAGUGGUGAAAUACGGCAGCUCAACUGUCGAGGUGCCAUUGAUACUGUAAAGCUAGAGUACUGAUGAGGUAGGCGGAAUGGACGGUGUAGCGGUGAAAUGCUUAGAUAUCGUCCAGAACACCGAUAGCGAAGGCAGCUUACUAAAGAGUAACUGACGCUGAGGCACGAAAGUGUGGGGAUCAAACAGG
rnacentral:rRNA from 1 species